GGUUUUGCAAGUACCCAACAAAUGGAUCCAUUUUCAUCACCUUCAACCGGUUCUUCUUCCCAAUUUUCUGCCAAUGAAUUCAGGGAUCAGCUCAAGACUCAGCUUGCUCAGGCCUACGCCGAGGAGUUUCUUGAGACCUUAAGAGUGAAGUGCUUUGACAAGUGCAUCACCAAGCCAGGGUCAAGCCUAAGUGGAAGUGAGGGCAGUUGCAUCUCUAGGUGCAUGGAGCGCUAUAUUGAGGCCACCAGCAUCGUCAGUAGAGCCCUCUUUAAGACACCACACUGAAUUCACAGGUUUUCCUGAGACAUUAUGCCGCCGAGGUAUCUUCAGCAACCUACAUUUUGUUCGAUAUUUAUUU
rnacentral:misc_RNA from 1 species